GUGAAUGAAAUCACAAAACCUGAUACCCCUUUGUUUGACCGUGAAAAAUUUCUCCCAUCCCCUUUGUUGUCUUGACAACGAGAAAAAGCCCGGUUUUAUGCCGGGCUUUUUCU
rnacentral:sRNA from 1 species